GUGGGGAAUAUUGGACAAUGGGCGAAAGCCUGAUCCAGCCAUGCCGCGUGUGUGAAGAAGGUCUUCGGAUUGUAAAGCACUUUAAGUUGGGAGGAAGGGUAGUAACCUAAUACGUUGCUACUUUGACGUUACCGACAGAAUAAGCACCGGCUAACUUCGUGCCAGCAGCCGCGGUAAUACGAAGGGUGCAAGCGUUAAUCGGAAUUACUGGGCGUAAAGCGCGCGUAGGUGGUUUUGUAAGUUGGAGGUGAAAUCCCCGGGCUCAACCUGGGAACUGCCUCCAAAACUGCAUGACUAGAGUACGGUAGAGGGUAGUGGAAUUUCCUGUGUAGCGGUGAAAUGCGUAGAUAUAGGAAGGAACACCAGUGGCGAAGGCGACUACCUGGACUGAUACUGACACUGAGGUGCGAAAGCGUGGGGAGCAAACAGGAUUAGAAACCCGUGUAGUCC
rnacentral:rRNA from 1 species